CCUGAUAAUGCAGAUGGAAUUUGCUCCAAAGAACCAUUUCUAAACAAGUUCACUUUCCUGUAUCCUUUCUUUGCCAUUACCUCUGAUAAGUGGGGAGCUAGAAGAGAGGUUAAAACAUUUAAGAACCAUCAUUAAAAGUAGGGUUUGAAAAAAAAUUAAACUACAUGCUUGAGUAAUGAUUGAUGUGAGAAAGGCCCAUCCCACUAUGGGGAGCACCCUUCUCCACCCCCAGGCAGAUAGACUAGGGUUACAUAAAAAGCAAGCCCAGCUCAAUGACUUCUGCUUUUAGGUUCCUACCAUGGCUUCCCAAAUGAUAGACACUAAUUUUUAAGCCAAAUAAUCCCUUCCCUCCCCAGGUUGCUUUUGAUCGCUGUGUCAUCACAGCAGUGAAGAAACUAGGACCAUAAAGAUUAAAAGAAAUGUGUAUGAGAUGGACAAGACCAUGAGGCCAGAAGAGGAUGUUAGACCGUGUGGACUUUCAUAUAGUUGUGAGCAACUAUGAUGGGUACUGGUGAUGGAAGCCUGGUUCUCUGAAUGACUAGGCACUACUCUUAACCACUGUACAAACUGUCCAGUCUCCAAAAUGAAUAUUUUCAUCAAAUGCUAGAAUUAUGAAACUGAGGCAAAUCACUCCAAGAAAAUACUGUAAGUUUUGAUUUUGCCCAUGCAUGCAUUAUAUAUUCAAAGACUAGCGACAUAUGGACCUUAUUCUAGUGUUAUAAAUAAAGAAACAGACAAGUGGAUGGAGGCUGUGCCCUGGGGUAAGUACAUUUCUUAAUGGGGGAGCUUGGUCUGUGACAGGUACUGAUAAGUACUCUGAAGAAAAGCAAGUACAAUUCAAGGAAAUGUGAAAGAAGAAAGAGGCAGGAUUAGAUACUGUCAAGGGCUAUCCCUGUCAACACACAUAUAUCAUGUUGUGGCUCAGAUCUCUAAUGUUUCCUAAAAUCCAGCCCCACCUCCCCAUCCCAGUGGACAUUACUAUUUGGAAGUGGUAGAAGCUUUAGACUGUGGGGCCUAGUUAGAGGAGGUAGGCCAAUGGAGGUGUGCCUUGAAGAAUAUACUGAGACCUCUGAUCUUUGUUCUGUCUCUUUGCUUGCAGGCUGUGAUGAAGUAAACAGGUUUUUCUCUACCACACUCCCUGCCAUGAUGUUCUGCAGGCCACAGACCCAAAGCAAUGGAGCCAAAUAGCCAGAAGUUGAAACAUUUAAGACUGAACCAACUAAACUUUAACUUUUUUAUAGAUAAAGCAAACUGUGCUGAGGCUGUGAAGACUCACUGAUUUUCACCAAGGAAUUGAGUUAUUUGCGUCCAUCUUAUGAGUUCCGUAGUAUUUGGAAGAGGGAGUUUGUUUGUUCCAUGCCUCAGUGCUCUUGAAUUCAAAAGUUCUCCAUGUUUCCUAGACCACUGCAACGGUGGGAGGUUCUGACCCUGGCUCACAGGAGGACCAAGAUUUCAAUUCCACUGGGGCCCUGAUUAUCCAGACCCAGGUCAAAGGUGUCUGCUGCUUUAGAGUCUCCCUUGAGCACACUUUGAACUGAGCCACUCUUGACCUCUUCCAAAUUUCCAAUCCCUUUCCCAGCCUUCCCUCAAGGCUCGUGCUGGUAUCUUCACCUGGAAGAAGAGGUUACAGUGCCUCUUUUUCCUGUCUCCCACCUUCAUGGGCAGCCAUGGCUCGGCUAGUUGUCUAGGUCACCUUUCUGCUUUCCUGAGACCCUCCUAAGGAGUAUGCACUUGGUAAGCCCUUUCAUAAACACAGUAAUAAAUACUGGUAGAGAACCGUAGAUUUAUAGAGUGGGUCUAUGGUCAUUACUUAAUUCCCAUAAAAGGUAUUCUUUUUACAACAAAUAAGAAGAAAAGGAAAAAUAGUUUCUCUUUAAACAAUCAUUUGCCUCGUUGUUACUGCAUACCUUGUCUGUUGUCCUGAUAAAGUCUAUGGGAGAAGGAGCAAUGUUCAUUACUUACUGUUAUAUUUCUGGUAAAUAACUUCCAUAUAUUUCCAGUAAUAUAUAUGCACAUACACACAUAUACAGAUACACACACACAUACAUAGGUAUACACACACACACACACACACACACAUACAUGAGUGAGUGCUAUGAAGCAUACGGUGGCUCAGUGAACUAGUUUAAUUUUACUACAGGCAUUUUUACUUCACACCUAAAAAAGAUGUUCCCAUGACACGUAGGUCUGUGUUUUGGGAUGGAAUGGAAACCCAUUCUCAUAUAAGCCCAGAAAUCUAAAUGUUUGGAGCUAAGCUCUACACAUAAGAGAGAAAAGACAGUGUUUGUCUUCUGGGCCUGGGUUACCUCACUCAUAUAUUAUUUAUCAGCCCCACCCAUUUUCCCACUAAUUUCAUAACUACAUUUUUAUUGAUGAAUAAAAUCUCAUUCUAUAUGGUGCAUUUCAAUUGCCCAUUUAUCAGUUGAUGGCUAUCUACGCCAUGUCCUAGCUAUUGGACUAGAGCGACAAUAAGCAUGGUUGUACAAGUGUCUCUGUUGUAGGGUAUGGAGUCCUGUGGGUGUACAUCCAGGAGUCAGAGUAUGGUUCUAUUUGCAGCUUUUUCAGAAACUUUCACAAUGAGUUCCACAAUGCAGCACCAGGUUAUGGUCCUAAGGACAGGAAAUCGGAGUUCUUUGUGCCUUAUGUCUGGCCAACAUUUGGUGCCAUCUGUUUCCUUGAUGGUUACCAUUCAGAUCAAGGUGAGAUGGAAUCUCAAAGUUGUUUUAAUUUACAGCUAGAGUUUAAAAUGUUUAUUAGCCAUUUGUAUUUCUUCUUUUGAGGGCUCUGCUCAGAUCCAUUGGCCAUUUUUAUUUGGCUUCUUUGUUUUCUUGAUGUUUGGGUUUUAGGGUGUUUUGUUUUGUUUUAUUUUGUUUUGUUUUGUUUUUGGAUAUUCCAGAUAUAAAUCUUCCAUCAGUUUUUUAGCUGGCAAAGACUUUCCCUUCAUUUUGUAGGCUGCCAAUUUACCCAAUGGAGAAUUGUCUUUGCUGUAGAAUAGCUUUUUGAUAUUUCAUGAGGUUCCAUUUGCUAGCUACUGACAUUAUUUACCAGGUGACCUAUAGUCCUUACCUACUCUGUCUGGGUGUUGUGGUACCUAUCACCCUUCUCAUCCAGCAAUCUCAGGCUUAGCUUUUAUGCUAAAGGAUUCUUUGAUCCAUUUGGAGUUGAUUGUAUAUAGAGAGGUAACAAUCUAGUUUCUUUCUUUUUCUCCCCCCCCCUUUUUAAAAUGUAAUAUACAGUUUUCCCAGUACCAUUUUUGGAAGACAUUGGGGUGUUUGCUUGUUUACUUCUUUGGCAUGUUUUUUCGGCACCUUAGUAAAAACAACAACAAGAAAACAAAACAAACAAACAAAAAACAACCUAGGUGGCUGUGGUUUUGUGGACUUCUCCCUGAUGCAUCUCCUUGGGCACUUCAUUUCUACACUCAGCUUUGUGCAUCCAUUAUGGUCACAGAAUCCCAUCAGAAACACCAUACAGUCUGUUCUGUGAAGAUUCUUUGCCUUAAAUGACUGUGUGUUUUGAUAGCAUUUAGAAAUCCGUGUACCAAAGCCCCACAGAAAUCUCUGCGGAAAGAUGAUACACUGACUUAGCUCUUCUUCUAUUGCUCUGAAGAAACACCAUGACCAAGGCAACCUAUAAAAGAAAGCAUUUAUGUGGGGGCUUGAUUUCCAUUUCAGAGGGUUACUCCUUGGUCAUCAUGUCUGCAAGCACAGUAACAGGUAGGCUGGCAUGUUUAUGGUAUCUGAUCUGCAUGGAGAG